rnacentral:rRNA from 1 species
UGGGGAAUUUUGGACAAUGGGGGAAACCCUGAUCCAGCCAUCCCGCGUGUGCGAUGAAGGCCUUCGGGUUGUAAAGCACUUUUGGCAGGAAAGAAACGUCAUGGGUUAAUACCCCGUGAAACUGACGGUACCUGCAGAAUAAGCACCGGCUAACUACGUGCCAGCAGCCGCGGUAAUACGUAGGGUGCAAGCGUUAAUCGGAAUUACUGGGCGUAAAGCGUGCGCAGGCGGUUCGAAAAGAAAGAUGUGAAAUCCCAGAGCUCAACUUUGGAACUGCAUUUUUAACUACCGCGCUAGAGUGUGUCAGAGGGAGGUCGAAUUCCGCGUGUAGCAGUGAAAUGCGUAGAUAUGCGGGGGAACCCCGAUGGCGAGGGCGGCCUCCUGGGAUAACACUGACGCUCAUGCACGAAAGCGUGGGGAGCAAACGGG